rnacentral:rRNA from 1 species
UGCGUAGGCGGAAUAUUAAGUCAGUGGUGAAAUCCUGCGGCUCAACCGUAGAACUGCCAUCGAUACUGAUAUUCUUGAAUGUAGUUGAGGUAGGCGGAAUGUGUAAUGUAGCGGUGAAAUGCUUAGAUAUUACACAGAACACCGAUUGCGAAGGCAGCUUACUAAACUAUGAUUGACGCUGAGGCACGAAAGCGUGGGGAGCGAACAGGAUUAGAUACCCUGGUAGUCC